rnacentral:rRNA from 1 species
UACGUAGGGACCGAGCGUUGUCCGGAUUCAUUGGGCGUAAAGAGCUCGUAGGCGGCCACUCAAGUCGAAUGUGAAACCUCGAGGCUCAACCUCGAGCCUGCAUUCGAUACUGGGCGGCUAGAGUCUGGUAGGGGGAUCUGGAAUUCCUGGUGUAGCGGCGGAAUGCGCAGAUAUCAGGAGGAACACCGGUGGCGAAGGCGGGUCUCUGGGCCGAUACUGACGCUGAGGAGCGAAAGCGUGGGGAGCGAACAGG